CUGCCGCCUCUCGCCCCAGCCGGGCUCCCCUCACUCCGUGGCUGGCGUCCCCUUCCCCUCUCCCUCCCUCGAGUCCUCUCCUCCCGGGCUUCCUCUCCUUAGCCGCCGACCCGUCCCCGCCCCUGGGCGGGCUGUGUCCCGUGUGGGCAGUGUCUGCCGACCCGGACGGGGGCUGGCGGCUGGGCUGGGGCUGGCCUCCAAGCAGGGCUGCAGCCCGCGUCACACCCCCUCUGCUUUCCCUGCCCCGCGACCCCGGGGCUGCCCUCCUCUCCCUUUCCCGCUCCCUGAGGACAAGCUCAGCGGCUUGGGCGCUGCUCCCCUGGCUCAGAGUCUCCAGCUGUAAAGCCCAGCUUCUCCUGGUGGAGUCGGGAAUAGGGAGAAUCAGUGCUGAGCGAGCUUCAGUCUCCUCCCUCAGUGUUUCUGCCCCAGUACGUUUUGGUUACUGAGACCUUCGAAUUCCGAUAUGAAUCGUAGCAGCAGCUAGUCAGUUUCUGCAGAGGAGCCCGCUGGGAUUGUAAUCGAAACCACGUUGAAUAUACGGAUCGCUGUGGGGAGCACUGCCAUUCCAAGAGCGCUGUCUUCUGAUCCAUGAAUGUGCGUGGUAUGUCUGUCCAGCUAUCCAUGUGGGUCAAAUCAUGGUGACCCUUUAAAACCUCCAAAAAAACAAAGUUAUUCUCUAUUUUGCAACUAGCCAUCUCUACAUAAGUGCAGAAGAGCUAACAUCCUUAAAGAUCAGAGCCCGCAGAAUAGGCCCUCCUGGAUAUUUCAGGAUAAAGGCAACUUUCUUUUACAAAAGGAUCUGAGAAGCAGGAGCAAGGAACUCAGGGAGAGAUCCAGGAAGACAUCUGACUCUGUUAAGAGACGACAGUCACAGCGACACGGGGAGUGAAGACACUUGCAGCAAAUUAAAAUAACUUCACAACUAUUGCAUCAGAGCUGCAGGUGUGAAAGAGCCUAAGCCUGUUUCAGAGUGCAGGGGACAAGAGAAAAGGAAUGUGUAAGAAUGCCGGUGACUGAGUUAGAAGCAUGCUUCCAAGCUGUCCGUGUCCUUUCCAUCCAGAAGCGGAGCCUGGAAGCUUCUGAAUUUCUCCAGAAUGCGAUUUACAUUCACUUUCGACAGAUAAGGAGACUGAGGAUUAAGUCUACUCUCUUUUGGGGGGAGCUCAUUAUCAAUGACUGGAAGUUGUAAGGAAAAAGAUAUUGAUUCAUCCUGAGAAAACAUUUUUCUGAGUCAGCAUUGAAGAAGGUGACCACUGAGGAGGGUGAUCAUUGUUCGAGUGAGAAGAGCCCCGGAUUGUACGGAGUCAGCAUCCCUUUCCUGGACACGGCACGUGUAGUGCUGCCUGGUGGGUGAGACGGCGCGGCCGCGCAGGGAACAAGGAUGCCGGACCGUUGGGCUGUGCUUAGGCCCGGUGGGGCUUUUUCUUAAGGGCAGUGGACCGUCACUGACAGAUUUUAAGUAGGGGAGUGGGGUGCUCUCCUAGAUCACUUUUGUGUUUGUAGAAUGCUUGCAAACAUUCAGUAGGCUCGGCAGGAGGUGAUGUGAUGAAUCAGAGUAGGGUGGCUGUGAGGUGUAACAGUGUUCAAUUUUCAAGUGGUUUUCAGUCCCAGUUUUGUGGCUCAGUAGCCGUGUCAC